rnacentral:rRNA from 1 species
AGUGAACGCUGGCGGCGGGCCUAACACAUGCAAGUCGAGCGGCCGCACAGUAAGCGCUCGCCCUUACGGUUGGCGAGUGGCGGGCGGGUGAGGCAUACAUCAGCUUCUUCUUUUUCGUGGGGGAUAACGUAGAGCCACUUCCGCUACUACCGCAUACGACCUACCGGUGAGAGCAGGAGAUCUUCGCGCCUUUCCCGUUUCAAUGAGACGAUGCCGGAUUAGCUAGUUGGCGGGGUAAAGGCCCACCAAGGCGACGAUGCGUAGCUGGUCUGAGAGGAUGAUCAGCCACACUGGAACUGAGACACGGUCCAGACUCCUACGGGAGGCAGCAGUGGGGAAUAUUGGACAAUGGGCGCAAGCCUGAUCCAGCAAUACCGCGUGGGUGAAGAAGGCCUUCGGGUCGUAAAGCCCUGUUGUUGGGAAAGAAAAGCAGCGGGUGAAAACGCGGCUGUUCUGACGGUACCCAAAGAAAAAGCACCGGCUAACUACGUG